rnacentral:rRNA from 1 species
AUCAAGUGUCUUAAGGGCAUUUGGUGGAUGCCUUGGCAUGC